rnacentral:snoRNA from 1 species
UUGCCCUGUGCCUCGCUCGGUUGUUAAUUGCCAAUAUUACGAUCUUGAGCUGGAUGAACAAAAAAAUAAAGAUACWAUUUUAUUUUUUGAUCAACGGGCUAAAACAAUUAGACUUCUUUGAGUACGAGGAUAUCGCUAUUUUUAUCUCACGGUAUCGUAUUGUAAUUAGAACGUCUCAUAUCA